UAAUGUUCCUCACAAGAGAUAGGGCUUUGUUCCUAUAUUACUAUUUUUGGGACCCUACAUUCUUUUAUCUAUAGCAUUUAUGCUUUAUGAGCUGCAUUUAUAAAUGGAUUAUAUCAGUGAUAUUAGCUAUGUGUGUGGACGGAUAUACAUAUGUGUGAGAUAAUUUGGGGUUGAUAGGAAAUCAUUAUUUUGAUGUUUUGUUAAUUGAAGUUUGAUCUUAUGUUCUAACUGCAAACAUGUGUGCCACGUUUCCUCAAUGUGAAGCGAAAGAAGGUCGUCGCGGUGGUCGGCUACCAGGAAGUAUCUUGUUUGGCCUUGUACCAUGUCGGAUUGUCACUAUUUUUAAAAUCUACUUAUGACUAUUUUGUAAAGGACAAAUUGACAGAUUUGGCGAAAAAUGGGCGUAUUUGGAGCCGGAUGGAAAGAUUGGCAGAUUUGGAGCAGGGUGACGAUGGAGCAGACUGUUGUCACAAUAACAAAAGAGCUGAAGUGGAAGGGCUCAUGGAAGAAGAGAUGGAAUGACAAUGAUGCAACCUUGACGUGUGGCUGUUGUAUGUAUUUGAGGUAUGUAGGAAAAGAACUCUUAAUGAGGUAAAGUGAUGGGGACUCAUCUAAGGCGGAGAUGGCAACUGAGCCCAGAGGCAAACAUGGCAUUGUUCAUAGUCAGUUUGUGAAUGAACAUGUGGUGGAAAGAAUGUUUCCAUGUCCAUAUGCCUCCUUUUCUUAUUAUUCGUACUAAGGUGAGGUGCCUUAUAUCUCAUCAGUUGUCGAUAUGGAGUUCCCCAUGGUGUCCUAUUUGGAGCUCUAUUUAUGAUCAUCUCAUAAUUCAGCAUCAGCCUUACAUUUAUCCUUCCAAUCUUAAAGAUCUAUGGAAACCUAACAAUAAAGCUUGGAAUGAAAAUCUUAUUUACUCUCUGUUUGAUGCUGAGGCAGCAAGCAUUAUUAUCCAAACCCCCAUAAUUCAAACGGAGGGUAAAGAUAUCAUGUGUUGGAAACACACCCCAACAGGUUUGGAAAGACAAUAGCAUUGCUCCGAGAAUUCAGACGUUUGCUUGGAGGCUUCUUGAGAGAGCAGUUCCAACAGGCAUGCGGGCUGAAGGCGGGAAAUGACAAACAUUUUGGAAGAAAAUAGGGACAUCCAACUCAGGUGCAUCAAGCUGCUCAAGCUAUAAUGAAAGGGCUUCAGGUAGAGUCCAAAGUUAUAGGUUUUAUCGGUCCACCCUUCUGACAGAUAAUCAGGUACUUGCAAGAGCUGCAAAUGCUGGCGAAUUUCAAACCCGGGACAUUGUGAAAUCCAUUCACAGAUAGCAGAAUACUUCAUUGUUUCCAAGUCUCUUAUGUUAAAGAUAUAUCACAUCAAAAGAGAUUUGAAUGGUGUUGCUCAUAACUGUGCAAAGGACUCACUGAAAAAGCUUUGUAUUAGCUACCACAUACUAUAUUAGCUCAUACUGUACUGUAUCCCCUACCACAUACUGUAUUAGCUCAACUGAUAGGAGUAUCCAGUGUCCAGUGUUGCUCGCUUUGAGCAACUUUGUAAUCUAUGGAUUUCGUAUCCUUGAUGUAAGAUGUGUAUGAAAGAUCAAUGAAUA